UACGUAGGGAGCGAGCGUUGUCCGGAAUUACUGGGUGUAAAGGGUGCGUAGGCGGGUAUGCAAGUCAUAUGUGAAAUACCGGGGCUCAACCCCGGGGCUGCAUAAGAAACUGUAUAUCUUGAGUGCAGGAGAGGUAAGCGGAAUUCCUAGUGUAGCGGUGAAAUGCGUAGAUAUUAGGAGGAACACCAGUGGCGAAGGCGGCUUACUGGACUGAAACUGACGCUGAGGCGCGAAAGCGUGGGGAGCAAAC
rnacentral:rRNA from 1 species